UACGGAGGGAGCUAGCGUUAUUCGGAAUUACUGGGCGUAAAGCGCACGUAGGCGGCUUUGUAAGUUUGAGGUGAAAGCCUGGAGCUCAACUCCAGAACUGCCUUUGAGACUGCAUCGCUUGAAUACAGGAGAGGUGAGUGGAAUUCCGAGUGUAGAGGUGAAAUUCGUAGAUAUUCGGAAGAACACCUGUGGCGAAGACGGCUCACUGGACUGGUAUUGACGCUGAGGUACGAAAGCGUGGGUAGCAAACAGG
rnacentral:rRNA from 1 species